GGUUUGCUCCCUAUGUUCAAGGCUGAUUUGCAUCUACAGAAUUGUGAUUCUGAGGCAUCUGGAGGAACAGCUUGAGAAAAUCUGCCUGCUUAUGGCAGGAGAAGCAAUGAACAUCAUGUACUUUAGUACUUCUGAGAUAAAACAGAAGGGGGAGAGCUGCACCAUGAAGCUCCUCAAGCUUGUGGCUUCUGCAUCUCACUCCUGCUGGCUCCUUUCCUCCCUCAGCUUUCUUCCAACAGUGUUGGCAUCUUCUAGAAGCUGAAAGACAGAAAACCUGCUAGACUGAGUGCUGCAUCUGCUUCUAUACCACAGUGAUUCUAUAAAGGCUCACAUCAGAGGGGUUUGCUCUGAGUACAACGCUUCUCAAGCUGGGUUUGAUGGUCCUGUGUCUGUUGUGUGACUUUCUCAGGAGCAUUGUGGAAAAUCCCACAGAUAAACUGAAAAUACAACUAAAUUAAUAAAAACAUAGUUGUAAUGGAAAGAAGCUACAAACCCUGUCAAAGGCUCCAAUUUUACAUUUCUACUACAGCCAGUUGUCUCACACCACUGCCUGGAAAGGAGGUUCCUGUCCAGCUUCCUCUGUGGUCAUGGUUGCCACAGGACAACCGAGACCUUUGGGAAAUGAAAAGAUUACCCGUAAGUGUUGGGGUGUGGUGAAAAGUCUCUGAUGGUGCCCGCCUUCUCUCUCUUGAGCAGCUCUCAAGAAGUACCUCCAUCUCAGGCCUUGAGAUCAUAUUCCCUUGGCAGGGCUUGUCCCAUCCCUGCAGUCCUACCAAACCAAAGCAUCCUGAGCAUGAUCUGCCACACUGCUUUUCUCUUACAAGAAGUAGAUGUUCAAAUAUGAAUUCUAACUCUCAUGCUUACAGGGUGGGAGGUCAGUCCGUAUUACGUUAGGCUGUGAUGCAGAGUCUCCAGAUGUUCAGACCCUCAUGUCAAGAGGCUCUAGCCAAAUAUUAUAUGGCUUCAGCUUUAAAAAAUGCUCUAAGACCGCAUUUUGUAGGCAAUUUUACUUUUCAUACAUUCUGGGGAUGAUUUUUCUGGGCUGCAUUUUUAUGUUUCUGCUUUUAAGGUUGUGGGUGGGUGCUGGUUAUGACAAUUUGUGUCUGGUAUUUUGGUAUCCUGGAAUGUUUGCUUUUAUGGUAUGUGGAUGGGAACUAGUUGCAUUCCACAGAGCUAUUUGUUGUAAAAUUGUGGGGUAUAAAUAGGAUUGAGGGAAAUGGUACACUAGUCUCUCGUGCUUAAAUGGCCACUUUGUACAACAGUGCCAUGAACUGGAAACGUAUGUUUCAGGAUCCCUACUGGAUUGUGGUCUCUACAAUCAUAAUUAGUAUCUAUCUAUGAUGUAUUGGGUUGUUCCUUGAGGGUUAUUUUUGAAGCUUUUCCUUUCAAGAGCAACUUCAAUGUUACCUGCCUAAUUCCAAUGGUAUGGUCUUUCCAUCUGCAGAGAUUGAAGUGUGUUGAUGAAACACUGACAAGGAUUGGCAGAUGUCUGCUAUGGGCAUGAAACAGUAUUUUGGUUGGCUUGCUGUGUGAGUGGGAGCUAUGGAAGCUUGCAUUUUGCAGGAUAUAAUUCCAGCAAAUAUUUUUUGUAGCAGAUAUUUCAACAUUUGAACUUGGUAGCAAAAAUUCAGAGGCAGUGUCUCAACUAUGUUCCCAUCCUGUGAAUUCUGAUGAACUAAAAUGUUUUUCGUUCUUCAUCAGGGAUAAAAUGAACAUCUUCUAGAGUUUGUAAUGAAAAAUGUGAGACAGAUCAUGAGAAUAAUCAAUAACCUUGGCACUGGGGCACUUUCCUCAGAGUCAAAGAAGUGACCUAAAUUCAAGUGCUUGGUCUGACUUUGCAGAGUUGGAGCUUUCAAGAUAGUCUUCAUGUCUCAGAUUAAUGGCAUGAUCAGUCUGUUGCUCUGGGUCAAAAGUCACUCAGUUUUGACCAGCAACCCCAUGCUGAAGUUGUCAAGAAGUUUAUAAAAAGUUUUGAGAGGUUUUCUGGAUUUAACCUUAGACAUGCAAAAAAAAGUUCAUGCAAGCAGCUUUUUCCAGUCCUCAGAUUAAAAGCCACUGGGUAAUUGCCGACUUGUUCAAGCCCUGUCCCUGGGAGCUGCCUAAAAAAAAAAGUCUUUGUUUUGCUCACUUCAUGUCCUCAGCUUGGGAGAUUGAAUCUAAUUUUCUAAACCAUCUGUUAAAGCAGCUAAACGUUAGCAACAUAAACAUACAUCUGAUUUCCAGGAAGAGCACAGGCUGUUAUCUAAUUAUAUUCUCUGUGCUGAAUCGGAGUGUUCCUGAGUUGUUAAACAAGUGGCUUUUCUCGUUCUUAGUGAUAUUUGGCACUGAAUCUUGACAGAUAGGUUUCUGCAGGCUGUAAAUAACACAGGGACUUGAGACCAGUAAUGAUAAAAAUUCAUGAGAGGACUGGCUGCCCACACAGGAGUACAACACCCUGCGGAGAGCUAGAGCAUUAUUUAUGUUGUAUUUUCCAUAUUGUUUUCUGAGUGCUAGGACCAGCUGCUUUCUAAAUUUCAUAAUUAAUUUCUGAAGAUGUAAGGUUAUGCUCUUUAAGUUACAUCGUCAUCAGAUGAAUAAACACAGUCCGCAUGCAAAAACUGUUCCUUCCCAAACAUCUUACUGAGUUUUCUUGUAGACAGGUAUGUUUAGCAUCAUCAAGUGGCCACAACUUCUGCUUUUUAUAUCUUUUUGUAAAGCUUCACCUCACAUAAAUAAGUAGACUACUGUGACUCAAAAAUCAAGAGAAAGAAACGCAAGUAUAUUUAUGUAGCAAAGUUCAACAGACUUCAGUUUUAACUGUCAAGCACUCCAUAUAGAAAGUAAGCCUAUUCCAGAAGGUUUCCUGUCUGAAAGACUUAAUUGCAGGCAAUUUAUUCCCCAGCAGAGUACAGAAAGUUCUGUUCAUUUCUCAUAUCCCUUUAAUGCUGACUUCUGUGCAUUUCCCAUGUGAAGUCAUCCAAAUAGAUUUGCAAACUCUCUUGAUUUCACACAAAGAUACUGCCCUGGGAUCCUGGCACCUACAUGAGACAAACACCCACCAGUGCUUCUGAAUCAGAGGAGCUUACUGUACUCCCUAUCCGCCCGCUGGUGCUCUGGGUGGCCUUGGCUGAGACUGGCUUACCAUACAAGGCACGGUACAAGCAGAAAGGAAAAGACAGACUGUCAGAUAAAAACGUGGUGGAAAGGAGGAGUGAUGCUCAGAGGUGCACAGAGAUUAAACAACUGGCCAGUGGUCACCCCUUAAGAGGAGUGUGAAUCACAUCCAAACCUGUGAUAAUGGCACCAGACCUCCUCUCACUGUCUACCAACACUCCUGACAAAAUGCCAUCAAGGGAAAGCACAAAUUAUUGAAACUGAAUCUAGUCUGUGCUUGCAUCGUGAAAUGACAGCUUCCUCUCUGGUUUUGUUCCAUGGUUCCUGUUCUUGCAAGCCAAAUCACAGUGAACCAUAGCAGCGAGUCCAUUUAGUGACUCUUGGAGUGAAAAUAAAAAUCAUGUUUAAUUUCAUGAAGUUUUCAUGAGAAACAACAAUUGUAAUUAGAAGGCAGGAAAGCUAUUCAGAUGCCUGAAGGCUUAUGCUGGGAGGCACCCCACUGUGCCGACUUCAA